GUGGUGACUGAAACCACAUGCCAUGUUAGGAGACUUCCAAACAAGUCUAGAGGGUUGGCACUUAGAGAUGAAGAAGACAUCUUCUGGGUACACUUGGCUCUCCUGAUGAAGUUUUUAAGAGAAAGGCAAAGUUGACCCUGGGCCUUCAAAAAGCUGUUCUUUCAGGCAAAACCUCAGAGAGGAGAAUUAGCUGCUAGGGAUCCUCUGCAGAGACCUUGAAGAACAUGGCAAUUAUGAAACUUCAACAAGAAAAGAUUUAAGCUGAUCUUUAAAAAAAAUACUGUCAGGAAUUUUGUAGAAAUGACUUUAAUAUAAUAACCGCUUCUUUGACUUAUGUUUUGUCUGGCGGUGAAAAGAAAAAUAUUUAUGAAAGCAUGCCUGUGUCCUAAAAUUGGGGACACAAAUUUAAAUGACUGAAGACACUUGAGGAGUGGAGGCAAGGAUGGUGAAACCAGGCCCUGUACCAAGCAGGAGAGCAUGAACCUGCUAAAGAGAGCUACUGCUUCUCAUUUCCAGUCAACUCAUCUGAAAUGGAAUUGAGACUCCAUUUCAGCCACAGCGAUUGAUCUGGAUUUUUUGUAAAAUUUCCUCAUUUUUACAUAUUGCCAAUUAAUUAAUUAGUUAAGAAGAAAUGUAAAUGUUCAA